CACCUAUCCUCGGAUAGAAGCGAGUGGCGAACGGCUGAGUAACACGUGGAGAACCUGCCCCCUCCCCCGGGAUAGCCGCCCGAAAGGACGGGUAAUACCGGAUACCCCGGGGUGCCGCAUGGCACCCCGGCUAAAGCCCCGACGGGAGGAGAUGGCUCCGCGGCCCAUCAGGUAGACGGCGGGGUGACGGCCCACCGUGCCGACAACGGGUAGCCGGGUUGAGAGACCGACCGGCCAGAUUGGGACUGAGACACGGCCCAG
rnacentral:rRNA from 1 species